rnacentral:rRNA from 1 species
GACGAACGCUGGCGGCGUGCUUAACACAUGCAAGUCGAACGAUGAAGCCUAGCUUGCUAGGUGGAUUAGUGGCGAACGGGUGAGUAAUACGUGAGUAACCUACCUUUAACUCUGGGAUAAGCCUGGGAUACUGGGUCUAAUACCGGAUACGACCAAUCUCCGCAUGGGGUGUUGGUGGAAAGCGUUAUGUAGUGGUUAUAGAUGGGCUCACGGCCUAUCAGCUUGUUGGUGAGGUAACGGCUCACCAAGGCGACGACGGGUAGCCGGCCUGAGAGGGUGACCGGCCACACUGGGACUGAGACACGGCCCAGACUCCUACGGGAGGCAGCAGUGGGGAAUAUUGCACAAUGGGCGCAAGCCUGAUGCAGCGACGCCGCGUGAGGGAUGACGGCCUUCGGGUUGUAAACCUCUGUUAGCAGGGAAGAAGAGAAAUUGACGGUACCUGCAGAGAAAGCGCCGGCUAACUACGUG